rnacentral:tRNA from 2 species
UGUGGCAGACCAGUGCAAUAAAUUUAAAAUUUAUUUACAAAUUAAAAUUUCUUUAGA